CUACGGAGGGUGCGAGCGUUGUUCGGAAUUAUUGGGCGUAAAGAGCAUGUAGGCGGUCUGUUAAGUCUGGUGUGAAAGCCCGGGGCUCAACCCCGGAAGUGCAUUGGAUACUGGCAGACUUGAGUAUGGGAGAGGAAAGCGGAAUUCCGAGUGUAGGAGUGAAAUCCGUAGAUAUUCGGAGGAACACCAGUGGCGAAGGCGGCUUUCUGGACCAAUACUGACGCUGAGAUGCGAAAGCGUGGGGAGCGAACAGGAGUAGAUACCCGGGUAGUCC
rnacentral:rRNA from 1 species